CUAACAAGGAUUCCCUCAGUAACGGCGAGUGAACCGGGAAAAGCUCAAAUUUAAAAUCGCUUGGGUUUACCUGAGUGAGUUGUAAUUUGAAGAAAGUGUUUCGACUUUUCGGGUUUGAUCCAAAUCCUUUGGGAUGAGGUAUCAUAGAGGGUGAGAAUCCCGUUCAUGAUUGAACCUGAGUUGUCAAUUGAUUCAUUUUCUAAGAGUCGAGUUGUUUGGGAUUGCAGCUCAAAAUGGGUGGUAAAUUUCACCUAAGGCUAAAUAUCUGCAAGAGACCGAUAGCGAACAAGUACCGUGAGGGAAAGAUGAAAAGAACUUUGAAAAGAGAGUUAAAAAGUACGUGAAAUUGUUGAAAGGGAAACGAUUGAAGUCAGUCAUGCUAGCGAGGAAUCAACUUGGUGGUGUGAGUCUCUCAUCUCCUCCCUGUGCACUUCCUCGUCUGGCAGGUUAGCAUCAAUUUUGAUUGUCAUCAAAUAAUUGGGGUAAUGUGGCUUCGCUUCGGUGGAGUGUUAUAGACCCUGGUGGAUGUGGCGAUUGGGAUUGAGGAUUGCAGCGGAUGCCUCUUGGGCUAGUCACCUGAUUCCUGGCUGUCACCUCGCUUUCGACAGCUUGCUGACGAUUGUGGGACUCGGCGGUCUAGGUGUCGGUCUGAUCUUAAAUUCGCUAAGGAUGC
rnacentral:rRNA from 1 species